AGUUUUUAGUUUUGUCAGUUUUGUCCAGUUUUGUCACAGGUUUUGUUUUGUACAGUGUAAGUGUUACAGUAUGUAUUUUUAUAGUUCAAGAAAAGCAUACUGAUACAUAUUAUAAAAUCAUGUUUAAUCAAACUGAAGUAAAACAAGAACCUGGUGAGACAACUUGCAAAACUGAAAUAGAUGAAAUUCUACAGGAUACCUUUAAAAAUGAAAUUAAGAAGGAACCUACCAGGCAAAGUACAAAUGAUACAUUUGAUUAUUUGGACGUUAAGGAAUAUCCUAUAAAAGAUGAAAUAGAACAAGAUGAGGGUUUAUUUUAUGAAGAUAUGAAAACUGAUGCCAGUAGCCUAUUAACAAAUGAUGAUAGAUGUAGCAGUAAUUUGGACCAAUAUAUAACUUCCACUACCAAUGUGAACACCGGAGGACGUUUUAUAUGUAUUAUUUGCAAGAAACCAUUGUCAAGCAAAUAUUAUUUAAAUUUACACAUGAAGAUACACACUGGGGAAAAACCUUUUGCAUGUGAAAUUUGUACCAAACGGUUUUCAAUGAAAAUAUAUUUAAAAUCGCAUAUGAGAGUGCAUACGGGUGAAAAACCAUUUGAAUGUGAAAUUUGCAACAAACAAAUUUCAAGAAAGGAUUCCUUAAAAAUGCAUAUGACAGUGCAUGCUGAUGAAAAACCAUUUGGGUGUAAAAUUUGCACCAAACAGUUUGCAUCCAAACGAGUUUUAAAAUCUCAUAUGAGAUGUCAUCCUAGUGAAAAACUAUUUGAAUGUGAAAUUUGUACCAAACAGUUUUCAACAAAGGAUUCUUUAAAAUGCCAUAUGAAGGUGCAUACUGGUGAAAAACCAUUUGAAUGUGAAAUUUGCACCAAACUGUUUAAUUCAAAGAGUCAUUUAACGCAACAUAUGAGAGUGCAUACUGGUGAAAAACCAUUUGAAUGUGGAAUUUGCACCAAACAAUUUUCAACAAACAGUUAUUUAACGCUACAUUUAAAAUUACAUGCUGAUGAAAAAUCAUGUAAAUGUGAAAUUUGCAACAAACAAUUUUCAGCAAAGACUUAUUUAACAAACCAUAUGAAAUUGCAUAGUGAUGAAAAACCAUUUGAAUGUGAAAUUUGUACCAAACAAUUUGCAAUAAAGCUCUAUUUAAAAAAUCAUAUGAGAGUGCAUACUGGUGAAAAAUCAUUUGAAUGUGAAAUUUGCACCAAGCAGUUUGCAACGAAACAAGUUUUACAAUGGCAUAUGAGAGUGCAUACUGGUGAAAAACCUUUCGCAUGCAAAAUAUGCUCCAGAAAAUUUUCACAUAAUUCUAGUCUAAAAGCACAUGCAAAUUCACAUUUGUGCGUAGCUCCAUUGGGAUCCGGGAGAUCAUCAUCAUCAUCAUAAGUUACUCGACAAUCCGUUGUGGAUCUUGGCCUGCUCGCAAAUAAGUCACCACUCCUGUCGGUUCCUGGCAACUUCCCUCCAUCUUCUAGAAUUUUUAGGUCUUCUUCUACAUCAUCAAUCCAUCUUCUUCGUGGUUGUCCUCUACUUCUUGUGCCCUCUGGUUUUUGAAAAAGUUAAUUUCUUAGUGUAUUCGUGAUCUGGCAUCCUAGCAAUGUGUCCAGCCGAUCUAAGUCUCUGCACUUUAACGAAUUUCACAAUAUCUGGAUCGGUGUAUAACUGAUACAAUUCAAAGUUGUAUAUUCGACACCAUAGCCCAUUUUCAUUCAGGACCCCAAAAAUUUUUCAUUUUUCUAAGAAUUUUUCUCUCAAAAAUACCCAGAAGUAUUUCAUCAUUUUGAGAUAAGGUCCACGUUUCAGCCCCAUAUAUCAAAACCGGUUUUAUUAAGGUCUUGUAUAUUUUGAGCUCUAGAUACUGCACGUUUUAUAUUUUUAUUUUUAAAUGUUUCUGGAGACCGUGAACAGUUUUGUUUGCUAUUGCUAUGCGUCUUUUUAUUUCAUCGCUUGUCGUGUUUAUUGAGUUUACUAGAGAUCCAAGAUAUGUGUAUUCCUUGACUUGCUCAAAGAUAUGGUUGUUAAUUUGAAUUCUCUGUUGGUUAUUUUGGGGAUUUGUAGAAACCAACAUAUAUUUGGUUUUUUCCUCGUUUGCCACACAAGUCCUAAUUCACCUGCCACGUCUGCAAACCUUGUAAAACACUGCACCAUGUCUCUCAUACUUCUGCCCACCAUAACUAUAUCGUCAGCGAAUGUGAGAAUUUACGUGGAUCUAUUAAAAAUACUUCCAUUCAUUCUAAUAUCUAAUUUUCUGACUGCCUUUUUCAAGGCAAUAUUAAAGAGGAGACACGCCAGCGCGCCCCUCUGUCUUAGACCAUUAUUAAUGUCAAAGGACGUAGAGUUUUCUCCUUAAAUCCUAACGCAUGAACUUAGGUUUUGCAUUGUUAGUUGGGUCAACUUAACUAACUUAGAUGGGAUCCCAAAGUCUAUCAUUGCAUUAUAUAAUGCAGUUCUUUUAACACUGUCAUCAUGGGGUGCUCUGAAGUCGACGAAGAGAUGGUGGUAUCUAUGUUAUAUUCUAGUGACUUUUCUAGAAUCUGCCUAUGCUCUUGACUUUUAUGUAUAGUUGACUUUCCAGCAGUGAAUCCACAUUGAUAUUGACCAACAAUGUCCUUUGUAAAAUGUUCAAACAAUACAUUAUAAUAUAAUAUAAAUAAAAACUAGAUAUGGGUCAAAUUAUUAUAAUUUAAAAAAUAUGUAGGUGUAUUGUUGUUGCCCAUUCACCUAGUAUGUAUAUUUUUUGCAUCCCAAACAUUAUUAUUCUUAAAGCCCAAACACCUACUUGCCGCUCCGCGCAUAAAAUGCUUUUUAGCCCGGGCUGGGGAAUCCCAUGAACCACUAGCUAGGGUGUUUACAGUGUCAGUAUUUAUUGUUUUGGUGCUAUAUUAACGUGCAAAUAUUUAAAAUGGUGGGAAUAGAAUUGAGGGAGAUACAAUUCUAGAACACCUAGGCAGCCGAUAAACACAUUGAAGACCAAAUGAGUUUGAAAUCUGAUAAGAAACAAGGGCUUUUUUGUCACAAUUGUAACAACAAAUUGUACACUGUCUUGUACUGAUAUCUUUGUUUCUGAGGGCCUGAUGAUGGCAUACAAAAUGUAAAUGCUGAAACUGGUCGCCCACAUACUGUAGUUAAUAAAACCUUUAAAAGAU
rnacentral:misc_RNA from 1 species